UACUCUCAUUCGUGUGGGUGUUUUUCCAGAAGGUUGGCCGAAAACAGAAGAUCAGAGUGCUGACUUGGUCGUCCCUACGCCCGAGCCUGGUACCCCAUUGGUUUUACGGACUACCGAGACUGAUAUUUUCAGUGGUCCAGGUACUGAAUAUGGAAUCAUCGGGCAGUUAAAAGAAAACCAAUCCGCUCAGGUCGCUGGCAUCAGUCCUGAUCGUCUUUGGUGGGGGAUCGUUGUACAUUCUUAUGAUAAUGGUCU
rnacentral:rRNA from 1 species